rnacentral:rRNA from 1 species
GAUGAACGCUGGCGGCGUGCCUAAUACAUGCAAGUCGAGCGAAUGGAUUAAGAGCUUGCUCUUAUGAAGUUAGCGGCGGACGGGUGAGUAACACGUGGGUAACCUGCCCAUAAGACUGGGAUAACUCCUGGAAACCGGGGCUAAUACCGGAUAACAUUUUGAACGGCGUGGUUCGAAAUUGAAAGGCGCUUUCGGCUGUCACUUAUGGAUGGACCCGGGUCGCAUUAGCUAGUUGGUGUGGUAACGGCUCAACAAGUCAACGAUACGUAGCCGACCUAAGAGGGUGAUCGGCCACACUGGGACUGAGACACGGCCCAGACUCCUACGGGAGGCAGCAGUAGGGAAUCUUCCGCAAUGGACGAAAGUCUGACGGAGCAACGCCGCGUGAGUGAUGAAGGCUUUCGGGUCGUAAAACUCUGUUGUUAGGGAAGAACAAGUGCUAGUUGAAUAAGCUGGCACCUUGACGGUACCUAACCAGAAAGCCACGGCUAACUACGUGCCAGCCGCCGCAGUAA